GCACAAGCAGCGGAGCGUGUGGUUUAAUUCGUUGCUACACGAAGAACCUUACCUGGGUUUGACAUGCUUAAAGUAGGAACUCGAAAGAGGGACGACCUGUAUCCAGUCAGGAGUUUGCACAGGUGCUGCAUGGCUGUCGUCAGCUCGUGCCGUGAGGUGUUAGGUUAAGUCCUGCAACGAGCGCAACCCUCGUCGCUAGUUGUUUUCUCUAGCGAUACUGCCCGUAUAACGUGGAGGAAGGUGGGGAUGACGUCAAGUCAGCAUGGCCCUUACAUCCUGGGCUACACACACGCUACAAUGGGUGAUACAACAGGUUGCAAUAGAGUAAUCUGGAGCCAAUCCCUAAAAUCAUCCUCAGUACGGAUUGCAGGCUGCAACUGCCUGCAUGAAGUUGGAGUUGCUAGUAAACGCAGGCCAGCACACUGCGUUGAAUACGUUCUCGGGCCUU
rnacentral:rRNA from 1 species